rnacentral:rRNA from 1 species
CCUACGGGCGGCAGCAGUGGGGAAUAUUGCACAAUGGGGGAAACCCUGAUGCAGCGACGCCGCGUGAGUGAAGAAGUAUUUCGGUACGUAAAGCUCUAUCAGCAGGGAAGAAAAUGACGGUACCUGACUAAGAAGCCCCGGCUAACUACGUGCCAGCAGCCGCGGUAAUACGUAGGGGGCAAGCGUUAUCCGGAUUUACUGGGUGUAAAGGGAGCGUAGACGGCAGCGCAAGUCUGGAGUGAAAUCCCAUGGCUUAACCAUGGAGCUGCUUUGGAAACUGUGCAGCUAGAGUGCAGGAGAGGUAAGCGGAAUUCCUAGUGUAGCGGUGAAAUGCGUAGAUAUUAGGAGGAACACCAGUGGCGAAGGCGGCUUACUGGACUGUAACUGACGUUGAGGCUCGAAAGCGUGGGGAGCAAACAGGAUUAGAUACCCGGGUAGUC